rnacentral:sRNA from 1 species
GUUUCAAUUCCUCAUAGGCAGGCUAUCGGCAGGAACGGCGCAGCCGACACCCAGAUGAUUCUCGCG